rnacentral:rRNA from 1 species
UACGGAGGGUGCAAGCGUUAUCCGGAUUCACUGGGUUUAAAGGGUGCGUAGGUGGCUUUGUAAGUCAGUGGUGAAAUCCCGGAGCUCAACUCCGGAACUGCCAUUGAUACUGCUUAGCUUGAAUUAGGUUGAGGUGGAUGGAAUAAUACAUGUAGCGGUGAAAUGCUUAGAUAUGUAUUAGAACACCGAUUGCGAAGGCAGUUCACCAAGCCUAUAUUGACACUGAGGCACGAAAGCGUGGGGAUCAAACAGG